rnacentral:rRNA from 1 species
AGAGUUUGAUCAUGGCUCAGAACGUACGCUGGCGGCACGCCUAACACAUGCAAGUCGAACGCAGUAGCAAUACUGAGUGGCAGACGGGUGAGUAACAUGUGGGAAUCUGCCUUGUGGUUCAGGACAACAUUGGGAAACCGAUGCUAAUACUGGAUAAGCCCUUACGGGGAAAGUUUUAAUGCCAUAAGAUGAGCCCGCAUUUGAUUAGUUAGUUGGUGAUGUAAUGGCUCACCAAGACAAUGAUCAAUAGCUGAUCUGAGAGGAUGAUCAGCCACACUGGGACUGAGACACGGCCCAGACUCCUACGGGAGGCAGCAGUGGGGAAUCUUGCACAAUGGAGGAAACUCUGAUGCAGCGAUGCCGCGUGAGUGAAGAAGGCCUUUGGGUUGUAAAGCUCUUUUGUAGGGGAAGAUAAUGACUGUACCCUAAGAAUAAGGUCCGGCUAACUUCGUGCCAGCAGCCGCGGUAAUACGAAGGGACCUAGCGUAGUUCGGAAUUACUGGGCGUAAAGCGCGCGUAGGCCGUUGAGUUAGUUAAUUGUGAAAUCCCAAAGCUUAACUUUGGAACUGCAAUUAAAACUGCUCGACUAGAGUUUGAUAGAGGAAAGCGGAAUACAUAGUGUAGAGGUGAAAUUCGUAGAUAUUAUGUAGAACACCAGUUGCGAAAGGCGGCUUUCUGGAUCAACACUGACGCUGAGGCGCGAAAGUAUGGGUAGCAAAGAGGAUUAGAUACCCUCGUAGUCCAUACCAUAAACGAUGAUUGCUAGAUGUUGGAAAUUUAUUUUCAGUACGCAGCUAACGCAUUAAGCAAUCCGCCUGGGGAGUACGAC